CCUACGGGGGGCUGCAGUCGAGAAUCAUUCACAAUGGGGGAAACCCUGAUGGUGCGACGCCGCGUGGGGGAAUGAAGGUCUUCGGAUUGUAAACCCCUGUCAUGUGGGAGCAAAUUAAAAAGAUAGUACCACAAGAGGAAGAGACGGCUAACUCUGUGCCAGCAGCCUCGUUAAUACAGAGGUCUCAAGCGUUGUUCGGAAUCACUGGGCGUAAGGGGUGCGUAGGCUGUUUCGUAAGUCGUGUGUGAAAGGCGCGGGCUCAACCCGCGGACGGCACAUGAUACUGGGAGACUAGAGUGAAGGAGAGGGAACCGGAAUUCUAGGUGUAGCAGUGAAAUGCGCAGAGAUAGAGAGGAACACUCGUGGCGAAGGCGGGUUCCUGGUCAUUAACUGACGCUGAGGCACGAAGGCCAGGGGAGCGAAAGGGAUUAGAUACCCCAGUAGUC
rnacentral:rRNA from 1 species